CGGGGUGUGGCUCAGUGGGACAGCGCUUGCCUUGCAUGCAUGAAGGCUGGGUUCAAUCCCCACCCCUG
rnacentral:tRNA from 1 species